AGAUUGAACGCUGGCGGCGUGCUUAACACAUGCAAGUCGAGCGGUAACAGGCGUAGCAAUACGUGCUGACGAGCGGCGAACGGGUGCGUAAUACAUGGGAAUCUGCCUUUUAGUGGGGAAUAACCCGGCGAAAGCCGGGCUAAUGCCGCAUAAGAUCUUCGGAUGAAAGCGGGGGAUCGUAAGACCUCGCGCUGAUAGAUGAGCCCAUGCCGGAUUAGCUAGUGUGA
rnacentral:rRNA from 1 species